AAGCCAUGGAAGCCGGGGGUACCCGAAGCUAGUGUCCUAACCGCAAGGAGGGAGCUAUCUAAGGUAAAACCGGUGCCUGGGGCUAAGUCGUAACAAGGUAGCCGUACCGGAAGGUGUGGCUGGAACACCUCCUUUUUGGAGCUUA
rnacentral:rRNA from 1 species